rnacentral:tRNA from 1 species
GGCUCAUAUGGUAGAGGGUCUGCCUGCAAAGCAGGAGACCCGGGUUCAAUCCCUGG